rnacentral:rRNA from 1 species
AUUGAACGCUGGCGGCAGGCCUAACACAUGCAAGUCGAGCGGAUGACGGGAGCUUGCUCCUUGAUUCAGCGGCGGACGGGUGAGUAAUGCCUAGGAAUCUGCCUGGUAGUGGGGGACAACGUUUCGAAAGGAAUGCUAAUACCGCAUACGCCCUACGGGGGAAAGCAGGGGAUCUUCGGACCUUGCGCUAAUAGAUGAGCCUAAGUCGGAUUAGCUAGUUGGUGGGGUAAAGGCCUAACAAGGCGACGAUCUGUAGCGGGUCUGAGAGGAUGAAUCGUCACACUGGGAACUGGAAAACGCCCAGAAUCCUUAGGGGGGCAGGAGUUGGGAAUAUUUGAAAAUGGGCGGAAGGCUGGUUCAACCAUUCCGCGUGUGUUGAGGAAGGCCUUUUGGUGUAAAACCCCUUAAGCGAGGAGGAGGCUACCUGGAUUAAUACUCUAGGAUAGUGGACGUUACUCGCAGAAUAAGCACCGGCUAACUCUGUGCCAGCCGCCGCCGUAA